rnacentral:rRNA from 1 species
GUUGCUAGCUGAGUGGUUGCGGAUAUCUUCCAUGUGAUAAUCCCUCUCAUAAAUGGUUCUAGUAAUUUGGUUCUUCUCAAUCAAAUUGUAGCGUGUGUUCCUGCUGCUCACAUCUUCUAUUCUUGAUUUGAGAUCACGGAUUUGUAUGGCGAUUCGAUGGCGAUCUUUGAGCUUCAUCAGUUCUUGCGACAAGCUUUGACUGGCCACAUGCACCAUGAAUUCACUAAGACAAUCUUCAAUAUUGUAGGAUGUAUCCCUUACUUGCUUUGCCCACACCUUCAGUAGCAUGUCUUUCUCCUUAAUUCCUUCAGCGACCAGUAGGAAUGUUUGCAUUGUCUCUAGCUCGUCUUUGAUAAACCUGCC